rnacentral:rRNA from 1 species
CGAAGGACCCGAGCGUUAUCCGGAUUUAUUGGGUUUAAAGGGUGCGUAGGCGGAUUAGUAAGUCAGUGGUGAAAGCCCGUCGCUUAACGGCGGAACUGCCAUUGAUACUGCUAGUCUUGAGUAUGGUUGAGGUGGGCGGAAUGUGUCAUGUAGCGGUGAAAUGCUUAGAUAUGACCCAGAACACCAAUUGCGAAGGCAGCUCGCUAAGCCAUAACUGACGCUGAGGCACGAAAGCGUGGGGAGCAAACAGGAUUAGAUACCCUGGUAGUCCACGCCCUAAACUAUGAUCACUCGUUGUUGGCGAUACACAGUCAGCGACUAAGGGAAACCAUUAAGUGAUCCACCUGGGAAGUACGACCGCAAGGUUG